GAGAUUCGUCUUCAGCCUCUUG
rnacentral:siRNA from 1 species